GAUGAACGCUGGCGGCGUGCCUAAUACAUGCAAGUCGAGCGAACGGACGAGAAGCUUGCUUUUCUGAUGUUAGCGGCGGACGGGUGAGUAACACGUGGAUAACCUACCUAUAAGACUGGGAUAACUUCGGGAAACCGGAGCUAAUACCGGAUAAUAUUUUGAACCGCAUGGUUCAAAAGUGAAAGACGGUCUUGCUGUCACUUAUAGGUGGAUCCGCGCUGCAUUAGCUAGUUGGUAAGGUAACGGCUUACCAAGGCAACGAUGCAUAGCCGACCUGAGAGGGUGAUCGGCCACACUGGAACUGAGACACGGUCCAGACUCCUACGGGAGGCAGCAGUAGGGAAUCUUCCGCAAUGGGCGAAAGCCUGACGGAGCAACGCCGCGUGAGUGAUGAAGGUCUUCGGAUCGUAAAACUCCGUUAUUAGGGAAGAACAUAUGUGUAAGUAACUGUGCACAUCUUGACGGUACCUAAUCAGAAAGCCACGGCUAACUACGUG
rnacentral:rRNA from 1 species